UAGAUUUCUGAAAUGUCACUGUCAAAAUUAUCUGUCAAACUUUCAUCACAACACUCGUGUGUAAUGCCAAAUUAAAAUUUAAUAUUAUCCGCUUCACCUCACGAGACGCCCCGAAAAACGCGAUGACGAUGUAAUUUUGAGUUAACAUUCUACUAUGUUAUGUCCAUUUGGCUGUAUUUGUUUCCCAUUGCGGUGGCUGUGGUCAUGUUCCUCUUAAUCGGCACCAUAUGUGAAAGGAGGAUAGAAGCUACCUUUCAUCAUAUCAUGGAACUUCGUCAAGCACAAAUACAGAGGAAUGAAGAAAAUGUUGAAAACGUUCACGCCAUCUCGGCCUGUACUGGAACUUGCCAACCGAUCACUCCGCAACGUACGAACAACACAAAAACAAACGCUACAUAAAAAAUACACGAAUAAUAAUAAAUACAUAAAUUCUUCAAUGUAA